rnacentral:rRNA from 1 species
UAGGGAAUCUUCCGCAAUGGGCGAAACCUUGACGGAGCAACGCCGCGUGAGUGAUGAAGGUCUUCGGAUCGUAAAACUCUGUUAUUAGGGAAGAACAAAUGUGCAAGUGACUAUGCACGUCUUGAAGGUAACUAAUCCGAAAGGCACGGCUAACUACGUGCCAGCAGCCGCGGUAAUACGUAGGGGGCAAGCCUUAUCCGGAAUUAUUUGGCGUAAAGCGCGCGUAGGCGGUUUUUUAAGGUCGAUGUGAAAGCCCAGUGCUCAACCGAUGAUGGGCAUUGGAAACUGUAAAACUUGAGUGCAGAAGAGGAGAGUGGAAUUCCAUGUGUAGCGGUGAAAUGCGUAGAUAUAUGGAGGAACACCAGUGGCGAAGGCGACUCUCUGGUCUGUAACUGACGCUGAGGCUCGAAAGCGUGGGUAGCAAACAGG